rnacentral:rRNA from 1 species
UACGUAGGGUGCAAGCGUUGUCCGGAAUUAUUGGGCGUAAAGAGCUCGUAGGCGGUUUGUCGCGUCUGCUGUGAAAACUCGGGGCUUAACUCCGGGCCUGCAGUGGGUACGGGCAGGCUAGAGUUCGGUAGGGGAGACUGGAAUUCCUGGUGUAGCGGUGAAAUGCGCAGAUAUCAGAAGGAACACCGAUGGCGAAGGCAGGUCUCUGGGCCGUAACUGACGCUGAGGAGCGAAAGCUAGGGGAGCAAACAGG